rnacentral:sRNA from 1 species
AUGGAUCACGCGUACAUUCCGGUUCCUGCACGCCGUCCACACCCACCUGACGACCGCUCGCUACGUUUUGUUAGCC